GCGUGCUUAACACAUGCAAGUCGAACGGAAAGGCCCUGCUUUUGUGGGGUGCUCGAGUGGCGAACGGGUGAGUAACACGUGAGUAACCUGCCCUUGACUUUGGGAUAACUUCAAGAAACUGGGGCUAAUACCGGAUAGGAGCUCCUGCUGCAUGGUGGGGGUUGGAAAGUUUCGGCGGUUGGGGAUGGACUCGCGGCUUAUCAGCUUGUUGGUGGGGUAGUGGCUUACCAAGGCUUUGACGGGUAGCCGGCCUGAGAGGGUGACCGGCCACAUUGGGACUGAGAUACGGCCCAGACUCCUACGGGAGGCAGCAGUGGGGAAUAUUGCACAAUGGGCGGAAGCCUGAUGCAGCAACGCCGCGUGCGGGAUGACGGCCUUCGGGUUGUAAACCGCUUUCGCCUGUGACGAAGCGUGAGUGACGGUAAUGGGUAAAGAAGCACCGGCUAACUACGUGCCAGCAGCCGCGGUGAUACGUAGGGUGCGAGCGUUGUCCGGAUUUAUUGGGCGUAAAGGGCUCGUAGGUGGUUGAUCGCGUCGGAAGUGUAAUCUUGGGGCUUAACCCUGAGCGUGCUUUCGAUACGGGUUGACUUGAGGAAGGUAGGGGAGAAUGGAAUUCCUGGUGGAGCGGUGGAAUGCGCAGAUAUCAGGAGGAACACCAGUGGCGAAGGCGGUUCUCUGGGCCUUUCCUGACGCUGAGGAGCGAAAGCGUGGGGAGCGAACAGGCUUAGAUACCCUGGUAGUCCACGCUGUAAACGGUGGGUACUAGGUGUGGGGUCCAUUCCACGGGUUCCGUGCCGUAGCUAACGCUUUAAGUACCCCGCCUGGGGAGUACGGCCGCAAGGCUAAAACUCAAAGGAAUUGACGGGGCCCCGCACAAGCGGCGGAGCAUGCGGAUUAAUUCGAUGCAACGCGUAGAACCUUACCUGGGUUUGACAUGGAUCGGGAGUGCUCAGAGAUGGGUGUGCCUCUUUUGGGGUCGGUUCACAGGUGGUGCAUGGCUGUCGUCAGCUCGUGUCGUGAGAUGUUGGGUUAAGUCCCGCAACGAGCGCAACCCUUGUUCACUGUUGCCAGCACGUUAUGGUGGGGACUCAGUGGAGACCGCCGGGGUCAACUCGGAGGAAGGUGGGGAUGACGUCAAGUCAUCAUGCCCCUUAUGUCCAGGGCUUCACGCAUGCUACAAUGGCUGGUACAGAGAGUGGCGAGCCUGUGAGGGUGAGCGAAUCUCGGAAAGCCGGUCUCAGUUCGGAUUGGGGUCUGCAACUCGACCUCAUGAAGUCGGAGUCGCUAGUAAUCGCAGAUCAGCAACGCUGCGGUGAAUACGUUCCCGGGGCUUGUACACACCGCCCGUCAAGUCAUGAAAGUUGGUAACACCCGAAGCCGGUGGCCUAACCGUUGUGGGGGAGCCGUCGAAGGUGGGACUGGUGAUUAGGAC
rnacentral:rRNA from 1 species